rnacentral:rRNA from 1 species
CAGCCGCCGCGGUAAAACAGAGGAUGCAAGCGUUAUCCGGAAUGAUUGGGCGUAAAGCGUCUGUAGGUGGCUUUUCAAGUCCGCCGUCAAAUCCCAGGGCUCAACCCUGGACAGGCGGUGGAAACUACCAAGCUGGAGCACGGUAGGGGCAGAGGGAAUUUCCGGUGGAGCGGUGAAAUGCGUUGAGAUCGGAAAGAACACCAACAGCGAAAGCACUCUGCUGGGCCGACACUGACACUGAGAGACGAAAGCUAGGGGAGCAAAUGGGAUUAGAUACCCCCGUAGUCCCUGUCUCUUAUAC